rnacentral:piRNA from 1 species
UGCUGGGAUAGAUUAAGUGAGAAGCUG